UUUGGAGUCAGGAAUAUUUGAAUGAUAUUAAUGACUAUUUGGGAGUAUUUUGAUUUUAUAUUGGAAUAUUAGGUGCUUAUUGAAAAGACAAAAAGGACCAGAAAGUGAGUGCAUUGUACUUGGAGAUGCUUCUGUAAUUAGUUACUUUUAUUUUGGAAUUGCAGUGGCCUCGAAUAUUCCGUGUUGAUUAUGGGCAUCAGGAAACUGCUUCCAAGUUUGGAAAACACCCGAGAUCUUUUCAGGUAUUGACCAAGCGGUUUUUGGGCGAUGAGAAUGGUGCUGUGAAAGGACUUGAAAUUGUACGCGUCCACUGGGAGACGGAUGCUAGUGGAAAAUUUCAGUUGAAGGAAGUUGAAGGCUCUGAGGAGAUCAUUGAGACUGACCUUGUCCUACUUGCCAUGGGAUUCCUUGGCCCAGAGUCGAUUGUAGCAUAGAAGAUGGGAUUAUCAAGGCUGAGUAUGGCCGUUUCUCAACCAAUGUGGAUGGUGUCUUUGGGGCUGGCGAUUGCCAGCGCGGACAGUCCUUAGUGGAAUGGGCGAUCUCUGAAGGCCGGCAAGCAGCCGCACAGGUUGACAAAUAUCUCAUACAAGUGGAAAAAGACCUUGCUGUUAGCCCUGUGAUCCGGGAAGACCUUAUCAAAAGGCAUAAUGGUCUUCCCAAUAGGCACCAAGACAGCAGCAAACACACAGUAAUGACAUAGGCGACCUCGAUUUUCCUCCCUAUACAGUAUUUUAGAGAAAAUGAUACAUAGAAAAUUAUUUAUAUGUUGAUCUUUCUCACGGGCAACAAAUGAUGCUCAAUUCACAGACAACAGGAGGAAGAAGUGGGUUCAUUGGGGUUGGCAAGGAUUUGCAGAAAGCAGGAACUAUUUUCAAUUGGGCUGUUACUGGGUAUUAUAGGUUUUCGAAUGUUGUGUUAAAUCUCUUCAUCAAUUGAUGUUUAUAUUUUCUACCCCGUGAUGCUUUAAAAGGUUAGGCUCAUGUAGUUGUUAUUAAGAAAUAAAUGUACAAUUCUUUUUUCUUAAUCAUUGAUUAAGAAUUACAUGUUGGAAAUUCUUGAUACCGUAUGAAAUGUGAGUUUUUGAGGUUGC